rnacentral:tRNA from 1 species
GCCUGGGUGGCUUAGUGGUUGAGCGUCUACCUUUGACUUAGGGCGUGUUCCUGGAGUUGCGGGAUCAAGUCCCACAUCAGGCU